AACGAACGCUGGCGGCAUGCCUAACACAUGCAAGUCGAACGAGACCUUCGGGUCUAGUGGCGCACGGGUGCGUAACGCGUGGGAAUCUGCCCUUGGGUUCGGAAUAACUCGCCGAAAGGCGUGCUAAUACCGGAUGAUGUCGAAAGACCGAAGAUUUAUCGCCCAGGGAUGAGCCCGCGUAAGAUUAGCUAGUUGGUGAGGUAAAGGCUCACCAAGGCGACGAUCUUUAGCUGGUCUGAGAGGAUGAUCAGCCACACUGGGACUGAGACACGGCCCAGACUCCUACGGGAGGCAGCAGUGGGGAAUAUUGGACAAUGGGCGAAAGCCUGAUCCAGCAAUGCCGCGUGAGUGAUGAAGGCCUUAGGGUUGUAAAGCUCUUUUACCCGGGAUGAUAAUGACAGUACCGGGAGAAUAAGCUCCGGCUAACUCCGUGCCAGCAGCCGCGGUAAUACGGAGGGAGCUAGCGUUGUUCGGAAUUACUGGGCGUAAAGCGCACGUAGGCGGCUUUGUAAGUCAGAGGUGAAAGCCUGGAGCUCAACUCCAGAACUGCCUUUGAGACUGCAUCGCUUGAAUCCAGGAGAGGUGAGUGGAAUUCCGAGUGUAGAGGUGAAAUUCGUAGAUAUUCGGAAGAACACCAGUGGCGAAG
rnacentral:rRNA from 1 species